rnacentral:rRNA from 1 species
GAUGAACGCUGGCGGCGUGCCUAAUACAUGCAAGUCGAGCGAACGGACGAGAAGCUUGCUUCUCUGAUGUUAGCGGCGGACGGGUGAGUAACACGUGGAUAACCUACCUAUAAGACUGGGAUAACUUCGGGAAACCGGAGCUAAUACCGGAUAAUAUUUUGAACCGCAUGGUUCAAAAGUGAAAGACGGUCUUGCUGUCACUUAUAGAUGGAUCCGCGCUGCAUUAGCUAGUUGGUAAGGUAACGGCUUACCAAGGCAACGAUGCAUAGCCGACCUGAGAGGGGUAACCGGCCAAACGGAAACGAGAAAAGGGUCCAAAUCCCAAGGGAGGCAAGAAGAGGGAAACCUUCGGAAAGGGGGGAAGGCCGAACGGAGAAAGGCGCGGGAGGGAUGGAGGUGUUCGGAAUGGUAAAACUUUUUAAUAGGGAAAAAAAAAAGGGGAAGGAAAUGGUGAAAACCUGACGGGAACUAAUCAGAAAGCCACGGCUAACUACGUG